GAGGAGGGCGAAGACUCCAUCCGCCAUGUUGGAUGCCGCAGAUUCGCCAUAACCCCGCUGGCUCUUUUCUUAAAAAAAUAAAAAUAAAAAGCGAAGCGUCAGCAGGGCGCCCCGCCUCCUCGGUUGGCACGGGAGGGGGCCCAGAAGAGCCCGAGGCUUUUUUUUCCUCCGCGGUGGGGGCGUUGCCAUGGAGACGCGGGCGGCAGAAAACACGGCCAUCUUUAUGUGUAAAUGUUGUAACCUUUUCUCACCAAAUCAGUCGGAACUCCUCUCCCACGUUUCCGAGAAGCACAUGGAAGAAGGGGUUAAUGUGGAUGAGAUUAUUAUUCCCCUGAGGCCUCUAAGUACACCUGAACCCCCCAACUCAAGCAAAGCCGGAGAUGAGUUUUUGGUCAUGAAGAGGAAGAGAGGCAGGCCUAAGGGGUCCACGAAGAAGCCCAGCACAGAAGAGGAGCUGGCAGAAAACAUCGUGAGUCCGACUGAGGACAGCCCGCUGGCUCCGGAGGAUGGGAACAGCCUGCCUCCAAGCAGCUUGGAGUGUAGCAAGUGCUGUCGGAAGUUUUCCAACACGCGCCAGCUGCGGAAGCACAUCUGCAUUAUCGUGCUGAAUUUGGGUGAGGAGGAAGGAGAAGCAGGUAACGAGUCUGACCUUGAACUAGAAAAGAAGUGUAAGGAAGACGAUCGGGAAAAAGCCUCGAAAAGACCACGGUCACAGAAAACAGAGAAAGUCCAGAAGAUCUCAGGAAAGGAGGCCGGACAGCUUUCUGGGGCGAAGAAACCCAUCAUAAGUGUGGUUCUAACUGCACACGAAGCAAUUCCAGGUGCUACCAAGAUUGUGCCAGUGGAGGCUGGGCCCCCUGAAACAGGAGCUACAAAUUCUGAGACCACUUCGGCAGACCUGGUGCCUCGGAGAGGCUACCAGGAAUACGCCAUUCAGCAGACACCUUAUGAGCAACCAAUGAAGUCAAGCAGGCUAGGUCCCACUCAGCUCAAAAUCUUCACUUGUGAAUACUGCAACAAGGUCUUCAAGUUCAAGCACUCGCUGCAGGCCCACCUGAGGAUCCACACCAAUGAAAAGCCGUACAAGUGCCCCCAGUGCAGCUACGCCAGUGCCAUCAAGGCCAACCUCAACGUGCACCUGCGCAAGCACACCGGUGAGAAGUUCGCCUGCGACUAUUGCUCGUUCACCUGCCUGAGCAAGGGCCACCUCAAGGUGCACAUCGAGCGGGUGCACAAGAAGAUCAAGCAGCACUGCCGCUUCUGCAAGAAGAAGUACUCUGACGUCAAGAACCUCAUCAAGCACAUCCGAGAUGCACAUGACCCGCAGGACAAGAAGGUCAAGGAGGCCUUGGACGAGCUCUGCCUGAUGACGAGGGAGGGCAAGCGGCAGCUGCUCUAUGACUGCCACAUCUGUGAGCGGAAGUUUAAGAAUGAGCUGGACCGCGACCGCCACAUGCUGGUCCAUGGAGACAAGUGGCCUUUUGCCUGUGAGCUCUGUGGCCAUGGGGCCACCAAGUACCAGGCGCUGGAACUGCAUGUCAGGAAGCACCCCUUUGUGUAUGUCUGUGCCGUCUGCCGCAAGAAGUUCGUCAGCUCCAUCAGGCUGCGCUCCCACAUCAAAGAGGUGCACGGGGCUGCCCAAGAGGCCUUGGUCUUCACCAGUUCCAUCAACCAGAGCUUCUGCCUCCUGGAGCCUGGUGGGGACAUCCAGCAAGAAGCUCUGGGGGACCAGCUGCAGCUAGUGGAAGAGGAGUUUGCCCUCCAGGGCAUGAAUGCACUCAAGGAAGAGGCCUGUCCUGGGGACACUCAGCCGGAGGAGGACCGGAAGGAGCCGGAGGCCCCUGGGGAAGUGCCUGCCCCAGCCAUUCACCUGGCCUGCCCACAGGCCGAAAGUACAGCCCUGCCACCCUGUGAGCUGGAAACCACUGUGGUCUCCUCCUCAGACCUGCAUUCUCCAGAGGUGGUUUCAGAUGAUUUUUUGUUGAAAAAUGAUAGCUCCUCUGCCGAGGCUCAUGCUGCUCCUGAGAAGUCCCCAGACACACAGCACACAAGCUCAGUCCAGACGCAAGGUGAAGUGAUCACACUACUGCUAUCCAAGGCCCAGGGUGCUGGGUCAGACCAGGAGAGCCAGGGCGCCCAGAGCUCCCCAGGGGAAGGGCAGAACAUGGCUGCGCUUUCAGCUGGUGACUCAGAUCCCAGCAGGUGUCUCAGGUCAAACCCAGCCGAGGCCUCAGACCUCCUCCCUCCAGCAGCUGGUGGUAGGGACACUGUCACACAUCAGCCUGACUCUUGCAAAGCUGCCCCUGAGCACCGGUCAGGCAUCACCGCAUUCAUGAAGGUCCUGAACAGUUUACAGAAGAAGCAAAUGAACACCAGCUUGUGCGAGCGGAUCCGGAAGGUUUAUGGAGACCUGGAGUGUGAAUACUGUGGCAAACUUUUUUGGUACCAAGUGCAUUUUGAUAUGCAUGUCCGCACCCACACCCGGGAACAUCUGUAUUAUUGCUCCCAGUGUCAUUAUUCUUCCAUCACCAAAAACUGCCUUAAACGCCACGUAAUUCAGAAACACAGUAACAUCUUGCUGAAGUGUCCCACUGACGGCUGUGACUACUCGACUCCAGAUAAAUAUAAGCUACAGGCACAUCUUAAAGUUCACACAGCGCUGGACAAAAGGAGUUAUUCUUGUCCUGUUUGUGAAAAGUCUUUUUCAGAAGAUCGAUUGAUAAAGUCACAUAUCAAGACCAACCAUCCUGAGGUCUCCAUGAGCACCAUUUCUGAGGUUCUCGGGAGGAGGGUUCAGCUGAAAGGGCUAAUUGGAAAGAGAGCCAUGAAAUGCCCAUAUUGUGACUUUUAUUUCAUGAAGAAUGGCUCAGACCUUCAGCGUCAUAUUUGGGCUCAUGAAGGUGUGAAGCCCUUUAAGUGUUCUUUGUGUGAGUAUGCAACUCGUAGCAAGAGUAACCUCAAGGCUCAUAUGAAUCGUCACAGCACUGAGAAAACCCACCUAUGUGAUAUGUGUGGCAAGAAAUUCAAAUCAAAAGGGACACUGAAAAGUCACAAGCUCCUUCACACUGCAGAUGGGAAGCAGUUUAAAUGCACGGUGUGUGACUACACAGCGGCCCAGAAGCCACAGCUGCUGCGGCACAUGGAGCAGCAUGUCUCCUUCAAGAAGCGUAGCAUUUCUCUGUAAUUUGGAAACCAAGUCAAAGAUGCGUAAGAGGAUGCAGACAGAAGAAAAGGCACAGUCUUUGCAUGAAAGCACUGGAAUGAUUUAGAGGAAGGCUUGCAGGCUUUAGGGACACUUAUUUUUGCUUUCAGAUCCUGGAUUGCCGCAGCCUUUCCGCUGUGCCCAUUGCCAUUACUCCUGCAACAUAUCUGGCUCUCUGAAGCGGCACUACAACAGGAAGCACCCCAACGAGGAGUAUGCCAACGUGGGCACCGGGGAGCUGGCGGCAGAGGUGCUCAUCCAGCAAGGCGGUUUGAAGUGUCCCGUUUGCAGCUUUGUGUAUGGCACCAAAUGGGAGUUCAAUAGGCACUUGAAGAACAAACAUGGCUUGAAGGUGGUGGAAAUUGAUGGAGACCCCAAGUGGGAGACAGCAACAGAAGCUCCUGAGGAACCCUCCACCCAGUAUCUCCACAUCACAGAGGCCGAAGAAGAUGCUCAAGGGACACAGGCAGCAGUGGCCGCGCUCCAGGACCUGAGAUACACCUCUGAGAGUGGCGACCGACUGGACCCCACAGCCGUGAACAUCCUGCAGCAGAUCAUUGAGCUGGGCGCCGAGACCCACGACGCCACUGCCCUUGCCUCGGUGGUUGCCAUGGCACCAGGGACAGUGACUGUGGUUAAACAGGUCACCGAGGAGGAGCCCAGCUCCAACCACACCGUCAUGAUCCAGGAGACAGUCCAGCAAGCGUCCGUGGAGCUUGCCGAGCAGCACCACCUGGUGGUGUCCUCCGACGACGUGGAGGGCAUUGAGACGGUGACUGUCUACACGCAGGGCGGGGAGGCCUCGGAGUUCAUCGUCUACGUGCAGGAGGCCAUGCAGCCUGUGGAGGAGCAGGCUGUGGAGCAGCCGGCCCAGGAACUCUAGAGGACAUGUGGCAUCGGAUGGCCACAGAGUGGGGCUGCCAGGCUCUGCAGGCACCCAGGGUGGGGAGGCCGCCCUUCCUGCCCGACCCACGGAAUGGUGCUCUCCUUUGCCCUCCCUGCCCGGCAGCCUGAUGGGACUCUCCUAGUCCAACUUGGGGUGGGCAAGGCAGUCAGCAUCACCAGCAACACCACAGGACCCUGUCCCCAGCAUAGACACACACCCCCUGACCCUUACCAUCUGCUUCCUGAAAGAUUUCAGCGUCAGCUCCCCUAUACACCCCCCCACACCUUCACCCCUUGCUUCAGGGUUCAAACAGAGACUCCCAGUGCCCCUCAGCAUCUUCCCUGAAUCACAGCCCCAGCUCCUUAACCCCCAUCUAGGUGCCAAAUGUUCAUCUGCAGCUGCUCUGCAGCCUGGUGAGAGGGAGACAGCCAUCGCGUAGAAAGUGACCUUACGGGUUUUUAAUCACUGCUGAGUGGGGUGGGGGUAGUGGGAUUGUCCUGGCUUUGUCGACAAAGUCCCACUUCCCUGAGUAUCGAGUGCCCUUGUUAUCAAGUGAGGUAAAUUCACCCCGUCACAGGGUCUCGCCCUACCAUCCUGGAAUUAUUUCGCUUUUAAGAUAAAUGCACUAUUUCACUGUUCGCCUCCCUUUCUAAGGAGGUGAGGUGGAUGGAAUAAAAACAGUUCCUGUC